GAUGAACGCUGGCGGCGUGCCUAACACAUGCAAGUCGAACGAAGCACUUUAGCUUGAUUCUUCGGAUGAAGGCUAUUGUGACUGAGUGGCGGACGGGUGAGUAACGCGUGGGUAACCUGCCUCAUACAGGGGGAUAACAGUUAGAAAUGACUGCUAAUACCGCAUAAGACCACAGAGUCGCAUGGCUCAGUGGGAAAAACUCCGGUGGUAUGAGAUGGACCCGCGUCUGAUUAGGUAGUUGGUGGGGAAACGGCCUACCAAGCCGACGAUCAGUAGCCGACCUGAGAGGGUGACCGGCCGCAUGGGGGCUGAUACACGGCCCAAACUCCUACGGGAGGCAGCAGUGGGGAAUAUUGCACAAUGGGGGAAACCCUGAUGCAGCGACGCCGCGUGAGCGAAGAAGUAUUUCGGUAUGUAAAGCUCUAUCAGCAGGGAAGAAAAUGACGGUACCUGACUAAGAAGCACCGGCUAAAUACGUGCCAGCCGCCGCGGUAA
rnacentral:rRNA from 1 species